rnacentral:lncRNA from 1 species
AGCAGCGUAGCUGAACAUCUUACGGAUGGCCCAGGGCUCCAAAGGCUCGUUUCCUAAGUGAGAGAGAGCCUGGCUGAAGCUGUAUUACCAUUCAUUCUCCAGCCUCCGAAGUCUCAAAGCAUCACUUCCACCAUACUCUAACUGUCAAGACAAACACAAAGGCCCAGAGAAGGGGUCUCACUAUGUUGUCUGGAGUGCUGUGGUGGAGUGGAGUGGCUAUUCACAGCUGAGUUUGCAGAGUAAACCACUACCCUGAAAUCUGGAAAGGCAGGUGCACCCACAGAUCCUCAGCUGAGAUCCAAUUACCUGAAAUAGAAGCUGCCAUUAGGAACACUUAAAAGAGCCUGUUCUGCUGGGACACAGAAUCACUUGCUCCAUCUCAUACAUUGAUGAUGAUUAAUUUGUAUGUGUACCUUCCAAAAAAGAUGGUUGUGUUUGAAUGGAGGCCUUCUGGACAGGAAAAUAUGGAGAGUGCGUGCUUUGGAUUCAAGACUGGGAAUGAGGGGACCAGAAACCUAUUCUGUGGCUGUUUCUUGUUAGGACUUUCCUAAGCCUCUGGAAAAGUGCAAAGUACAAUUAACAUUUGAGUCUGUCUGAGUCAUGAAGAAAUGGAGAUUACUGAAAAUAAUUCAUUUUGGUAUCUUCUUACAUCCUGAGAGACUAAUCUUUCCAAGUUCAUCUGAGGCUCCUCUUCUCCAUGACAACCUCAUCCAGGGAUUUCUUCCUGUCCUGGUGUUUUAUGACAUGUAAGUGAAGACCCACAUGCUGCUUUGUAUAUUUUUGUCAAAAGAGGAAAAACUGUCUUGUCGAGGACAGGAACUAAAUUAUAUGCAGUAUUUCUUUAGAAGCCCAUUCAGCAUCUUAAAGUGUUAGGUACAGAGAAGGCCCUCCAUAAAAAUUUGCUAAAUUGAAACUAGGAGCAAACGUUAAGUCAAGAUCAAACUCAGGAAUAACUAUGGCUAUUAAUCAUCUUUUACCCAGAAUUUAAAUAAUUUCAUAAGUAUUGCCUGAAAUCUUUUUCUUUAUGUCAAUAGUAGCAUGUUUUACUGGUGGUAGGAUGUCUGGGGUGAAUAUCAAAGAUCUGGCCCAAGUUGUUCCUGGGAGCUGGGGGUUAGGGAGUAGGAGAGAAAGAUAUUUAACUCUUCCAAAUACCUAGUGGAUUAGGAUCCCACAGGGAACUACUGAAAAUGCAAAUGGGGCUGGGGUAGGGGCUCACACCUGUAAUCCCAGCACUCUGGGAGGCCGAGGCUGGCGGAUCACUUGAAGCCAGUAGUUCAAGACCAGCCUAGCCAACCUGGUGAAACCCUGUCUCUACUAAAAAUACAAAAA